GACACCGCUGUUCAAAUGGCAGGUUUUUGCGUCAUAAAAAAUAAGAUCAACAUACAUUUCAAAGAUUUAAAAUGGCUCUCUCACUUCUUUACAUGUCACUUUGAGUG